UACGGGAGGCAGCAGUGGGGAAUAUUGGACAAUGGGCGAAAGCCUGAUCCAGCAAUACCGCGUGUGUGAAGAAGGCCUGAGGGUUGUAAAGCACUUUCAAUUGGGAGGAAU
rnacentral:rRNA from 1 species